rnacentral:lncRNA from 1 species
AAUAAUUUCUUCAAAGCCCAGACUUGCCGUACCCUAUGGCCUCAAGACUCUGCUCAGGAAAAUUAGCAAAGCCGUUCUCAAAACCAACCCACCGAACAUGACCCAGUUUGCAGCAGUUUAUUUUAAAGAACUUAUUAUGUAUAGAGAAGGGACUACUUCUCUGGAUGAAGUGGUCAGAGGGAACAGAAUCUAAAGUGCCUACACAGAUGGAAAAAUCUACAAAGACAAUGUAACCGGAACAGGAUGUAGUGACAAAACCACCCAGUUUCCAUCCAUUUAUGCUGAGCUAGGCACUGAGCAAACUGAAGCAGUUCGUGAUCUUUCUUCCAAACCAGCCACCCCUAAGACUACUACCCCACCCUCAUAACCAUCUCCAACAGCUGUUUCACCAGAGUUUGCCUAUGUCCCAGCUGACACAGCUCGGUUUGCUUCUCAGAUAUUAGCAAUGGCAGCAAGUGAAGCAGGACAACCACGACGAUAUUCUAACAUGUGGACCCCUUAUUGUCUAACUGAUAAGAAUCAACAAAGUCACCCAUCACUGCCACCUGCACCUGGGCCUUUUCCCCAAGCAACUCUGUCUAUCUAAUCCUAAGGAUCCACAGUUUCUGCAGCAUCCACCAACUUACAAGAUGAUCUCCAACUUACAAGAUGAUCGAAGAUAGUAAGACCAGUGCCCCACCUUUUAUCUUAGUAGGCUCAAAUGCUCAGAAAGCAAAGGAAUGGAAACCUCUUUCUGGACAUGCUGUUGUUUCAAAGUCAGAAGUUUUGAAGAGAUAUGCUGCAGUAUAAGUGCCCAUUGCUGUUCCUGCAGAUGAGAAAUUCCAGAAACUUACCUUAAGCCCCCAGAAUGCUCAUCUUGCUACAAGUGGACAAGAUGUCCCCAGGCCAGAAAGCCUUGUUUUUCUUUCUGUUGCUUUCUUAGUAGAAGGGGUAGCUUUAAAAAGUUCAGGAUCUGGUGACAAAUGUGCUCCCUUUGGAAGUUACAGUAUUGCUUGGGAGAUAACUGUGACUCAUGCUCACAAAGUUCGCAAAGCAGAAACUUAAA